rnacentral:piRNA from 1 species
UGACAGGAAAUGUGAAGCUCGCUGGCUGC